AGCUUGAAGGAUACAUUUUAAGUGAAUUCUGCCCAGCGUUAUGUAUUAGCGGCCGCAGUACCUUGACUGUGCUAAGGUAGCAUAAUCAAUUGGCUUUUAAUUGAAGUCUGGAAUGAAAGGUUUGUUAAAGAAUUUUCUGUCUCUUUUUAGCUUAUAUGAAUUUAUUUAUAAAGUGAAAAUACUUUUUAUUAGAAAAAAGACGAGAAGACCCUUAGAAUUUUUAUUAAAAGGUUUUUUUAAAUCUCUUAUUUUUGUUGGGGCGACAAUGAAACAUUUAAACUUUCAUAUAAAAACAUGUCAUUUUUUUUUGUAUGGUAAAAUUACCUUAGGGAUAACAGCAUAAUGAUUAAUAUAGCUUAUGACCUCGAUGUUGGACUAGGAACUAAAAGAUUAACCGUCAAAGUAGAUUGUUCUGUUCGAACAACAGUUUCCU
rnacentral:rRNA from 1 species